GCUCUGGGAUAGCUUAGUUGGUUGAGCAUGAGACUCUUGAUCUUGGGGUCGUGGGUUCGUGCCCCACAUUGAGCA